rnacentral:rRNA from 1 species
CCUACGGGGGGCAGCAGUGGGGAAUAUUGCACAAUGGGCGCAAGCCUGGUGCAGCCAUGCCGCGUGUGUGAAGAAGGCCUUCGGGUUGUAAAGCACUUUCAGCGGGGAGGAAGGCGGUGAGGUUAAUAACCUCAUCGAUUGACGUUACCCGCAGAAGAAGCACCGGCUAACUCCGUGCCAGCAGCCGCGGUAAUACGGAGGGUGCAAGCGUUAAUCGGAAUUACUGGGCGUAAAGCGCACGCAGGCGGUCUGUCAAGUCGGAUGUGAAAUCCCCGGGCUCAACCUGGGAACUGCAUUCGAAACUGGCAGGCUAGAGUCUUGUAGAGGGGGGGAGAAUUCCAGGUGUAGCGGUGAAACGCGUAGAGAUCUGGAGGAAUACCGGUGGCGAAGGCGGCCCCCUGGACAAAGACUGACGCUCAGGUGCGAAAGCGUGGGGAGCAAACAGGAUUAGAUACCCCAGUAGUC